CAACGUUCCUUGAUCGAGAUCUCCAGCCGCCCAUCCGGUUGUUGUCCUGGCUCACUUCCCCGGAGCCAGGCCGGCGCAGGAUAGGCGCGGAUGGGGAUCUGGACCAAGGAACGUUGCGUA
rfam:Arthrobacter sp. 49Tsu3.1M3 genome assembly, contig: G373DRAFT_scaffold00012.12